AACGUAGGUGGCAAGCGUUAUCCGGAUUUACUGGGCGUAAAGCGCACGUAGGCGGCUUUGUAAGUUAGAGGUGAAAGCCCGGAGCUCAACUCCGGAAUUGCCUUUAGGACUGCAUCGCUUGAAUCCAGGAGAGGUGAGUGGAAUUCCGAGUGUAGAGGUGAAAUUCGUAGAUAUUCGGAAGAACACCAGUGGCGAAGGCGGCUCACUGGACUGGUAUUGACGCUGAGGUGCGAAAGCGUGGGGAGCAAACAGG
rnacentral:rRNA from 1 species